UACUCUGAAGUGGUUGCAGCUACCCCACUAUUUGAAGUUCCUCCUCAACCUAUGCGUACCUUCAUAAUCAUAUCACCCCCUUCAGAGUGCGAUAAUAGUGCAAACUAGUUGUGUGGCAGCGUCGCCUGGCUAAGUACGUGGUGUACGAACACUCCACGUAAACACAGACGGAAUAUCAAUUUUCGUCUUUGUGGGUUGAGAUAUCGUGUUAUCUUAAGGUAAUAUAUCAACUACAGAUAUUAUUUAACUUCUAAUUAUGUGAGAGUAUCAUUACGGACUAUACUGUGAACUGAACAAAAGUGGAGAAAAACCGCCAAUCGCAAGGUAAUAGUGCCUUAAGGAACUCAGAAAAUCAUCAGAAAAACUGUCAAAAUGGCCAUACUGUCUUCAGGCCAAACUGAAACGGGCUUCAAGAUGUGGGUGAACUGUUAAGGUGGGAGGAACUGUGUACGCCUAGGUACAAUGAAGAUCUCUGUGCUUCAGAACGGAUGCUGGAGGAAUCAGAAAACACAGCAAGCCGCCUUCAGACCAUUUCAGGCCGAUCUUCAGAAACAGCAAACACUACAUUUUACAGCAUGCUGGUUUUUACGGUGAGAAGCUUUUCGUCUCUCUCCAACUCCAAGAUGGAGAAUCAUCCCUUGUCGGCUGUCUGCGAAUGCUUAUUCAAAAUAUUUGCAAAUACCUUCCAGAUCUCAAAGCCGUCUCUGUCCGCAACCUCAAGACGCACCAAGGGACGCGCUUAACACGUUAAGCGUAGGCUGGAUUCGUCUAGCUCAAGACAGAGACCCGUGGUGGCUUCUCAUGAACACUGUAAUGGACAUUCGGGUUCCAUAAAAGACGGGGGAUUUCUUGUGUAACCGAAUGCCUAUUAGUUUCUCAAGAUGGACCCUGAACAAAGUUUUCAAGGGUUGAGUGGGUGCCUCUGCGAUGUAGCAGCUUGAACCAGUACGCCAUUCGUAACAGCAAGCUCUAAAGUGAAUUUGAAGAUAAAAUCAAUAUAUGAAAUAUUUCUUAGUGUACGACGCAUACAUACAUAUAUAUGAACUUUGUAAUUAAUAACUUAGGCUACUUCAAGGGCAAAAUACUGUACAGGGACAGAAAAAACAAAGAAUUUAAUCGCCUUACUGUGCUCGUAGUCUCAUUUACUACAUGGCUUCUUACGCAACGACCAGAAAGAGAGGAUGAACUGGGUUUAAUGCAGAAGUAGUAUAAUAAAUUAUUUCACGAAGGCACUUUGUCUGAAGUUUUUUAUAUUGUUAAAUAAAACAUAGAAAAGAGAAGAAAUAAAUCUGUUUACUAGGCUUGCCUAAAAACGUUAAUUCUGUUUCUCCUUCUGUCAAGAACAGCUACGCAACCUGUAGUUGCACAGAUCAGGAAAUAAUUCUGAUAUUUCGUACCUGUAGACACCCAGUCGACUCCCCUA